rnacentral:rRNA from 1 species
AGCGGCGGACGGGUGAGUAACGCGUGGGUAACCUGCCCUAUACACAUGGAUAACAUACUGAAAAGUUUACUAAUACAUGAUAAUAUAUAUUUGUGGCAUCGCAGAUAUAUCAAAGUGUUAGCGGUGUAGGAUGGACCCGCGUCUGAUUAGCUAGUUGGUGAGAUAACUGCCCACCAAGGCGACGAUCAGUAGCCGACCUGAGAGGGUGAUCGGCCACAUUGGAACUGAGACACGGUCCAAACUCCUACGGGAGGCAGCAGUGGGGAAUAUUGCACAAUGGGCGAAAGCCUGAUGCAGCAACGCCGCGUGAACGAUGAAGGUCUUCGGAUCGUAAAGUUCUGUUGCAGGGGAAGAUAAUGACGGUACCCUGUGAGGAAGCCCCGGCUAACUACGUGCCAGCAGCCGCGGUAAUACGUAGGGGGCUAGCGUUAUCCGGAUUUACUGGGCGUAAAGGGUGCGUAGGUGGUCCUUCAAGUCGGUGGUUAAAGGCUACGGCUCAACCGUAGUAAGCCGCCGAAACUGGAGGACUUGAGUGCAGGAGAGGAAAGUGGAAUUCCCAGUGUAGCGGUGAAAUGCGUAGAUAUUGGGAGGAACACCAGUAGCGAAGGCGGCUUUCUGGACUGCAACUGACACUGAGGCACGAAAGCGUGGGUAGCAAA